ACGAUUUCGUUAUUCUAGUUUUGUUUGCGGGAAGUUUUGUGAUUUUAUUUUAAAUUUAUUCGAAAUUAGCAAAGUAUGGAAAUUCCAAAUUUUAAAAUUGAUUCCUUGCUUCACAGUGUUAAAGAACUACAGAAUGAGAAGAAUUGUUUGGACUACAAAUUGAAUGAACUAAGAACCAAAAAAGGUCAGCUGGAAAAAAGAGUAGAGACAGCAAAUGUGAAACUUGUACAAGUGAAUGAUAUACACAUCAAAAUGUCAGAAACUCUCAAAGUGGCCGAAAUGAAGGCUUCCAAGACACAGAGCCAGGCUUUAUGUCUGGAGGAAGCCAAUCAAGUGAAGAGAGAGAAGAUCCUGGACCUCAACACUAAGAUUGAGUUUGAGAAAGUCGAACAGCAAGAAGACACAGAUCAUUUUGAAGAGGAACUGGUCGGUCUUGCAUCACAAAUGAAAACCUCCCGUCUAUUCUAUGAAAACGAGAAUGUGGAGAAAGAAAUCGUUUCAUCAGAAAAUGAAAUAACUGACCUCGAAGGGAAAUCGUGUGAGAAUCACCAGCUAAUUGAGCAGCUGACGAAGGACCUGUGUCGAAUAAAGUCUCACAUCAGCAUUGAUGACGACGGAAUCUCGGACGAGACGCGGAGAUUAGUCUGGCUGAUGGUGAAGAAAGAGAAUCAUUCGCUGCACAAGUUUCUGAACCGACUGCAGGAUGAGCUGGACAGCAUUAACGAAAAUCUGGAGGACUCGAUGAUGUGAAAUCUGUCCUAUACCCAUUGUUACAGCAUUCACGAAACUGUUGACGCGAUGAUGUGGGUGUUUAGGAUGCCAUGGGCUGACAUGCAUACAUCUGAGCUGAAGAUUUUCAAAUAACUGGUCUGCUACCUUAGAGCAAGUUUGUCAUCAAUUAUCUCCCUUGUCAUAUAUAGUGACAAAAGAAAUAUUACAGCUUAAUAGUUAUAAUAUACUAGAAGACUAAAUAGCAUUGCUGUAAUUAUCAAAAACAAUAUAUAUGUAAUAAAAUAUGUUUAAAACAUUAUUAAAUCUACGAGUCGAUCAAUAGAUCUACAUCAAAGUGCAAUCCCUGCCAAUUAUUUAGUGGUUAUAACGACGUCUAUGAUUGGUACCUGCUUCUGACCUGCACAUUUACAAAUCACCAGAAAAACAAGAAGUAAUUAUUCCUUGUUGCUUCAGUAUUUUGGGGAAUAUAAUUGUCUACUUUAUAUUUUCUCCAAAUCAGAUUGGGUGGUUUAUACAAUGAUAUAGUUUAUUUGUGACUUUUACUUCACCUAAUGCAUAAACUGCUUCUGGUAGUAUACCAUUAUGACGUUUUAAUUGUUUAUUUGGAUUCAAUUUCUAUUUUGUACUCAACUGCAUUACAUAAUGACUUAUUAGUGUUUGAAUAAAUUAGUUUUACACUAACA
rnacentral:misc_RNA from 1 species